UGGCGGCGUGCUUAACACAUGCAAGUCGAACGCGAAAGGGACUUCGGUCCUGAGUAAAGUGGCGCACGGGUGAGUAACGCGUGGAUAAUCUACCCGAUGGACCGGGAUAACAUUUCGAAAGGGGUGCUAAUACCGGAUAAGACCACGGCUUCUUAGGGGGCUGCGGUAAAAGGUGGGGACCUUCGGGCCUACCGUCAUCGGAUGAGUCCGCGUACCAUUAGCUAGUUGGUAGGGUAAGAGCCUACCAAGGCGACGAUGGUUAGCUGGUCUGAGAGGAUGAUCAGCCACACUGGAACUGAGACACGGUCCAGACUCCUACGGGAGGCAGCAGUGGGGAAUUUUGCGCAAUGGGGGAAACCCUGACGCAGCAACGCCGCGUGAGUGAUGAAGGCCUUCGGGUCGUAAAGCUCUGUCAGAGGGGAAGAAAUGCAGGGGUGCUAAUAUCAUCUUUGCUUGACGGUACCCUCAAAGGAAGCACCGGCUAACUCCGUGCCAGCAGCCGCGGUAAUACGGAGGGUGCGAGCGUUGUUCGGAAUUAUUGGGCGUAAAGCGCGUGUAGGCGGUUUGGUAAGUCUG
rnacentral:rRNA from 1 species